rnacentral:rRNA from 1 species
CCCUUAGAUGUUCUGGGCUGCACACGUGCUACACUGGCAGGUUCAGCGAGCUUCAUGCCCUGAUCUGAAAGGAAUGGGAAAUCUUUUCAAAACCUGCCGUGCUUGGGAUAGAUGUUUGCAAUUAUUCAUCUUCAACGAGGAUUGCCUUGUAAGCGCACGUCAUCAGCGUGCAUUGAAUACGACCCUGUAUUCUGUACACACCGCCCGUCGCUCCUACCGAUUGAAGUUUUCGGUGAGUUGACAGGAGGAUUUUUUUGAAACUGGUUCGCCAGUGGAUUUUAGAUCCAAAUGCCAACGAAUCGAGGGCUUUAGAGGAAGGAGGAGUCGUAACA